rnacentral:rRNA from 1 species
GGCUCAGAGUGAACGCUGGCGGCGUGCCUAACACAUGCAAGUCGAACGAGAACGGGUUUAGUUUACUAAACUGUCAGCUAAGUGGCGCACGGGUGAGUAAUGUAUAGUUAACCUGCCCUCUAGAAAGGAAUAACAGUUGGAAACGACUGCUAAUGCCCUAUAUGCCCAUAAUACAUAAGUAUGCUGGGGAAACGCUUUAGUGCUAGAGGAUGGGACUGUAUGGUAUCAGAUAGUUGGUGAGGUAAUGGCUCACCAAGUCAAUGACGCCUAACUGGUUUGAGAGGAUGAUCAGUCACACUGGAACUGAGACACGGUCCAGACUCCUACGGGAGGCAGCAGUGGGGAAUAUUGCACAAUGGAGGAAACUACUGAUGCAGCAACGCCGCGUGGAGGAUGACACUUUUCGGAGCGUAAACUCCUUUUAUAUAGGAAGAUAAUGACGGUACUAUAUGAAUAAGCACCGGCUAACUCCGUGCCAGCAGCCGCGGUAAUACGGAGGGUGCAAGCGUUACUCGGAAUCACUGGGCGUAAAGAGCGUGUAGGCGGGUUAUUAAGUCAGAAGUGAAAUCCUAUGGCUCAACCAUAGAACUGCUUUUGAAACUGGUAACCUAGAGUAUGGGAGAGGUAGAUGGAAUUUCUGGUGUAGGGGUAAAAUCCGUAGAGAUCAGAAGGAAUACCGAUUGCGAAGGCGAUCUACUGGAACAUUACUGACGCUGAGACGCGAAAGCGUGGGGAGCAAACAGGAUUAGAUACCCUGGUAGUCCACGCCCUAAACGAUGUACACUAGUUGUUGCCAUGCUAGACAUGGCAGUAAUGCAGUUAACACAUUAAGUGUACCGCCUGGGGAGUACGGUCGCAAGAUUAAAACUCAAAGGAAUAGACGGGGACCCGCACAAGCGGUGGAGCAUGUGGUUUAAUUCGACGAUACGCGAAGAACCUUACCUGGACUUGACAUUUACAGAACUUUCAAGAGAUUGAUUGGUGUCUGCUUGCAGAAACUGUAGGACAGGUGCUGCACGGCUGUCGUCAGCUCGUGUCGUGAGAUGUUGGGUUAAGUCCCGCAACGAGCGCAACCCACGUCGUUAGUUGCUAACAGUUCGGCUGAGAACUCUAACGAGACUGCCUGGGCAACCAGGAGGAAGGUGUGGACGACGUCAAGUCAUCAUGGCCCUUACGUCCAGGGCUACACACGUGCUACAAUGGGGUAUACAAAGAGCCGCGAUAC